rnacentral:rRNA from 1 species
AUGGCGCACCUGCCUCUUCCUCCUCCUUGCACUUCUUGGUUUCAUGAGUUCCCACCCACUCCUUAUCAUGUUUCCUCCUCCGGACCUCCUCUUCGCAGAGGUUUUCCUGAUGCUCGUCCUCGCCGCAGCCGGAGACAUGCUGCGGGCGCUGCGUCGCCGAUAGGCGGCGGAAGCGGCGGCGCGCGCGACACACUCCAGCGCGCGCCUCCGCUACAGGCCCUGGACGCCCACCAGCGGGUCCAGGGCAACCGGCUCGAUCCUCUGCUGGGGAUGGUCGCCAUCUCCUCCUGCGGCUGCAUCAACACGCGCCGCAUCGACGACCUCCUCCGGCUCCUGCUCCCCUGCGUGGGCGAGCAAACCUCCGACCCCCGAAUCUCUUCGGCUUCCUCCCGCGCCCGCUCCGACGGCGCAGCCGCGGACGCGGAGGAGAACGAGCCCGAGGCGUCCGCGGGGAGGAGCACGCAGGUGCUGCUCGCCGCGGCAGCAAGUGGCGGGCGCGGCGGCCCCUACGGCCGCCGCCCGUCGUCCUCCCACGGAAGCUGCGCCCCCUGGAACGCUGCCCCCCUCAUCGCGCACCCCCCGGCGACCCCGUCGCCCGUAUGCUGCCCCAUCGUCGCGUCACGGCAGGAACAAGAGCAAGGGAGGUUACCAACGAGAGAGGACUUGGUCAAGUGUUUCUCUAUGCCACGAAACAUCCGACUACAGACUCCCAGGCACCCUUCUCUGCCGGAUAUGAGAGUUGACGGAUCCAAUAGAGGGCCUCCAAAAUUUGUCCACAAGGCCACGCCAGCUAGAUUGAUGCGCCGAGCUCGCUCCUCACAUAAUUACCAUGGGAAGCGCAUGGAAGCAAUUGAUGCUGUCAAUGAAUGGAGAUUGCCUAAAGUAAGUGCAGAGGAAGAUGGGGCAGUGGAUCAGAAAGCCUGGCAGGAUGAUACCAUGUCAUGUCGUGUAUCCUCAGCUCGUGAUUGGAACUUCGGGUCUGAUAGUGUCUAUGAGGGCCCUGCGAUGAAACAUAAGGAAAAUGCUGUCCACGCCAAGUUGGUUGCCUGGAAGGAUGCACAGGUUUCAAAGCUCAUUGACAAAGCACUUAUGAUGUUACUUGAAUCAACUAGGCUGAAAGCCCAGAUCGAUGAAUGGCAGAAGAAUAAGUUUACAUGGGCCAGGGAUAAACUGGCAAAAACUGAGAAGAAGUUGGAGAAGCAGAGAACUGAAACCGUAGUGAAGAUGCAAAAGGCGAUAGAAGAUGCAGAGAGGAAAGAUGAUAUGAAGAGUCAAGAAGAGGCAGCCGCCAAGAGUAAGAUAGCUAGUUUCGAGAGAGCCCUUCAGGUGAUGCCUAGGGCAGGAAGGCAGGCCGAUUGUCAAAUACUAAUGAAGGGACUGUAUACUGUAUAG